UUUUGAUGCUUGUUCCCUUUGCAAUAAUUGGGAAAUUCUCCCCAAUAAUUCUCUCUAGUAUACCUUCUGCUCCCCUCUCUCCAUCUUCUUCUUCUGGAAUCCCAAUUAUUCUAAUGUUGUUUUGUCUUAUGGUGUCACUUAUCUCAAAUUCUCCCUUCAUAGUCCAGUAGCUGUUUGUCCCUCUUUUGCUCAGCUUCUUAAUUCUCUGUCAUUUGGUCUUCUAUAUCACGAAUUCUUUCUUCUGCCUCAUUUAUGCUAUCAAUGAGAGCCUCCAUUUUUUAUUGCACUCAUUAGUAGCCUUUUUGAUUUCAGCUUGGUUAGAUUUUAGUUCUUUUAUUUCUCCAGAAAGGGCUUUUAUAUCUCCCAAGAGGGUUUCUCUACUAUCUCCCAUACCUUUUUCGAGCCCGGCUAGAACCUUGAGAAUCAUCAUUCUGAACUCUAGAUCUGACAUAUUACCAAUAUCUGUAUUGAUUAGGUCCCUAUCCUUCGGUACUGCCUCUUGUUCUUUUUUUUGUGGUUCAUUUUUCUGCCUUGUCAUUUUGUCCAGAUAAGAGUAUAUGAAGGUGCAAGUAAAAUACUAAAAGGGUGGGAAAGUCCCCAGAAAAAUAUGCUUUAACCAAAUCAUAAGAGAUCCCAAAUCCUUGGUGGGAGAAAAGGGAUAAAAAGAGGUUCAGAAAAAAAAAAAAAAACAAAGAAACAAUUAAAAAAAGAAAAUGAAUAAAGAAAAAUAAAAAAAGAAAUAUAUAUAUUUAUAUAUAUAUAUAUAUAUAUAUAUAUAUAUAUAUGAUAAACCAUUUGAAAAACGUUAAAAAAGAAAAGGUUAAAAGUUAAAAAAAAUUUAGAAGGAGAAAAAAAAAUUGAAAAAGAAAAAAAAUUUAAAUUAACUGCAAGACUAAAAAAUCAUGAGUUCCGUGCUUUGCUUUCUCCUCCUCUGGAAUUCCGCUGUUCUCCUUGUAUUGAAACUGCACUCCUUGGUAGGUGAACUUGGUCCUGCCUGGAUUUCUUGUUGAUCUUUUAGAUGAGGGGCCUGUUGUAGUGAUUCUCAUGUGUCUUUUCCCCAGGCAGAAUUGCACAGCCCUUACCAGGGGCCGGGCUGAGUAAUCUGCUUGGGUUUGCUUUCAGGAGCUUUUGUUCCCUGAAUGCUUUCCGAAGAGUUCCAGAGGAUGGGAAUGGAAAUGGCGGCCUCCCAGUCUCCAGCCCAGAGGAGCUGAGUGCUCAGGGCCCCACUCUUCAAUGCACCUUCAGAGAAUAGCGCCCAAUUACUCCCAUCUCCCUGGCUUCUGGCCGCACUCAGAGCUCACCAAGCCUGCGACCGUUUCAAGGAAUUCAAUACCUGCAGCUUUCCCAACCCUCUGUGGAAUACUCCAUCAUCUAAGUGUUCAAGUUUGCUGAUCUCUGUACUCCUGGAAAACAGCAAUGAUUAAGAAAUCCCCCUACCUUUUUGCAUUCUGGGAAACAGCUUGAUGCAAAGAACCACCCUUCUCUGCAUGAUUGUUGCUUGUUCUCCCAAAGUGAUAUCUGAAGAGUGGCUAAAGCCAGAAGAGGGCUGCAGAUACACACUGGAGACCUCUCUUCACGGAGGUGGGAGGUGACAACCGGCAGCUUGAAGUAAUGAAGUCAAAGAAUUUUCAGAAGAGUUCAGAAAAAGAGAAUAUACUUGGGUUAGAACCUUCAGGCAUAUUAGAUAUUCGAGGAAAAUCAAGAAAUCCUAGUACUGGUGACAUUCAGACAACACAAGCGUGGGCACACCAACCCCUUCUUCAUAGUGGAAAAUACGUGUACAACUUGACUCCCCCAAAACUUACCUACGAGUUGCCCACUGUUGACUAGAAGCCCUACCAAUAACAUGAACAGUUGGUUAACACAGAUUUUGUAUGUUAGAUGUAUUCUCUACUCUAUUCUUAUAGUAAAGUGAGGUAGAGAAAAGUAAAUGUUAUUAAAGUUAUAAGGAAGAGAAAAUACAUUUACAUACUGUACUCUUUUAAUAAAAAAAAUCUGUGUGAAAGUA